UGGGGAAUUUUGGACAAUGGGCGAAAGCCUGAUCCAGCAAUGCCGCGUGUGUGAAGAAGGCCUUCGGGUUGUAAAGCACUUUUGUCCGGAAAGAAAUCCUUGGCUCUAAUACAGUCGGGGGAUGACGGUACCGGAAGAAUAAGCACCGGCUAACUACGUGCCAGCAGCCGCGGUAAUACGUAGGGUGCAAGCGUUAAUCGGAAUUACUGGGCGUAAAGCGUGCGCAGGCGGUUUGCUAAGACCGAUGUGAAAUCCCCGGGCUCAACCUGGGAACUGCAUUGGUGACUGGCAGGCUAGAGUAUGGCAGAGGGGGGUAGAAUUCCACGUGUAGCAGUGAAAUGCGUAGAGAUGUGGAGGAAUACCGAUGGCGAAGGCAGCCCCCUGGGCCAAUACUGACGCUCAUGCACGAAAGCGUGGGGAGCAAACAGGAUUAGAUACCCUGGUAGUCCACGCCCUAAAACGAUGUCAACUAGUUGUUGGGGAUUCAUUUCCUUAGUAACGUAGCUAACGCGUGAAGUUGACCGCCUGGGGAGUACGGUCGCAAGAUUAAAACUCAAAGGAAUUG
rnacentral:rRNA from 1 species